GACGAACGCUGGCGGCGUGCUUAACACAUGCAAGUCGAACGGAAAGGCCCAGCUUUUGUGGGGUGCUCGAGUGGCGAACGGGUGAGUAACACGUGAGUAACCUGCCCUUGACUUUGGGAUAACUUCAGGAAACUGGGGCUAAUACCGGAUAGGAGCUCCUGCUGCAUGGUGGGGGUUGGAAAGUUUCGGCGGUUGGGGAUGGACUCGCGGCUUAUCAGCUUGUUGGUGGGGUAGUGGCUUACCAAGGCUUUGACGGGUAGCCGGCCUGAGAGGGUGACCGGCCACAUUGGGACUGGAAUACGGCCCAGACUCCUACGGGAGGCAGAAGUGGUGAAGAUUGCACGAUGGGCGGAAGCCUGAUGCAGCAACGCCGCGUGCGGUAUGACGGCCUUCGGGUUGUAGACCGCUUUCGCCUGUGACGAAGCGUGAGUGACGGUAAUGGGUAAAGAAGCACCGGCUAACUACGUG
rnacentral:rRNA from 1 species